rnacentral:rRNA from 1 species
AUUGAACGCUGGCGGAAUGCUUUACACAUGCAAGUCGAGCGGCAGCACGGGGGCAACCCUGGUGGCGAGCGGCGAACGGGUGAGUAAUACAUCGGAACAUGCCCAGUCGUGGGGGAUAACACUUCGAAAGAAGUGCUAAUACCGCAUACGUCCUGAGGGAGAAAGCGGGGGAUCGCAAGACCUCGCGCGAUUGGAGUGGCCGAUGUCAGAUUAGCUAGUUGGUGGGGUAAAGGCCUACCAAGGCAACGAUCUGUAGCUGGUCUGAGAGGAUGAUCAGCCACACUGGGACUGAGACACGGCCCAGACUCCUACGGGAGGCAGCAGUGGGGAAUUUUGGACAAUGGGGGCAACCCUGAUCCAGCCAUUCCGCGUGAGUGAAGAAGGCCUUCGGGUUGUAAAGCUCUUUCGGCAGGAACGAAACGGCGAGCUCUAACAUAGCUUGCCAAUGACGGUACCUGAAGAAGAAGCACCGGCUAACUACGUG